AUUGAACGCUGGCGGCAGGCUUAACACAUGCAAGUCGAGCGGAGAUGAGGUGCUUGCACCUUAUCUUAGCGGCGGACGGGUGAGUAAUGCUUAGGAAUCUGCCUAUUAGUGGGGGACAACAUUCCGAAAGGAAUGCUAAUACCGCAUACGUCCUACGGGAGAAAGUAGGGGAUCUUCGGACCUUGCGCUAAUAGAUGAGCCUCAGUCGGAAUAGCUAGUUGGUAGGGUAAAGGCCUACCAAGGCGACGAUCUGAAGCGGGUCUGAGAGGAUGAUCCGCCACACUGGGACUGAGACACGGCCCAGACUCCUACGGGAGGCAGCAGUGGGGAAUAUUGGACAAUGGGCGGAAGCCUGAUCCAGCCAUGCCGCGUGUGUGAAGAAGGCCUUUUGGUUGUAAAGCACUUUAAGCGAGGAGGAGGCUACUUGGAUUAAUACUCUAGGAUAGUGGACGUUACUCGCAGAAUAAGCACCGGCUAACUCUGUGCCAGCCGCCGCAGUAA
rnacentral:rRNA from 1 species